UGCAACCUGAGCUCAGGCGUGAUUACCC
rnacentral:rRNA from 2 species